GCAGCGGGUUCUGCCCUGCACCAGGGGCUGUUCCAGCAGGGAGAUCGGGGAGGGGUCUGGGGGCUCUGGGGGGUUCCAGACCCCAGGGGCAGCUGUGCCUGACGUGGCUCUGCUCUGCUGUCCCAUUGCAGAGAGGACGGGGAAGGUGCUGGGCGAGUUCUGCCGCUGCUACAGGGAGCAGUUUGGGGUGGCUCUGUUCAACAGCGUGCGCUACGAGAUCGAGGGCGCGGGGGGCCCGCAGGCACAGCUGCUGCACCGCAAGGUGCCACUGGAGGACCACGUCAUCUACUCAGGCAACAUCUUCCAGUACAUUGAGGAGAACAAGAAGUGGAGGAAUCGCUUCUGCGUGGUGCCGCACAACUAUGGGCUGGUGCUCUACGAGAACAAACUGGGCUAUGAACGGGAGCUGCCGCCCCGGGUGCUGGUCAACAGUGCUGGCUACAAGGUCCUCACCUCCGUGGAGCAGUACCUGGAGCUGGUCAACAACAGCCUGCCUGGUGAGCAGCCCCUGGGGACCUCUGGUGGGUUUGGGGGGUGGGAUCCCCAAGGGCCUUCAGAAAAAGGUGUUAGUGGGGUGUCAUAUCCUUGGGAACCUCCAGGAAAGGUGAUUUGGGGGUAUAGCAUUCCUGAGUGCCUUCAGAAAAGGUGAAUUGUGGGUUUCAUAUCCUUGGGAACCUCCAGAAGAGGGUGGUUUUGGGGUGUAGCGUUCCUUAGGACCUUCUGGAAUAGGUGGGUUUGGGGUGUAGCAUUCAUAAAGACCUUCUGGAAGGGGUAGGUUUGGGCUGUAGGAUCCUGGGAACCUUUUGGGGGUAUAGCAUUCCUGAGUGCCUUCAGAAAAGGUGAAUUGUGGGUUUCAUAUCCUUGGGAACCUCCAGAAGAGGGUGGUUUUGGGGUGUAGCGUUCCUUAGGACCUUCUGGAAUAGGUGGGUUUGGGGUGUAGCAUUCAUAAAGACCUUCUGGAAGGGGUAGGUUUGGGGUGUAGCAUCCUGGGAACCUUCUAGAAAAGGUGAUUUUGGGGUGUAGCAUCCCUGGGAACCUACUGGAAAGGGUGAUUUUUUGGGGUGUAGCAUUCCUGAGUGCCUCCAGAAAAGGGUGAUUUUGGGGUGUUUUAUCCUUCUAUAAAAGGUGGGCUGGGGGUGUUGUAUCCCUGGGAACCUUCAAAAAAGGGUGAUUUUGGGGUGUAGCAUCCUUAAAGACCUUCUGGAAGGGGUAGUUUUAGGAUGUUGGGGGUGUUGUAUCCCCAGGAACCUUCAAAAAAGGGUGAUUUUGGGGUGUUGUAUCCCUGGGACUGGGAACCUUCUAGAAAAGGUGAUUUUGGGGUGUAGCAUCCCUGGGAACCUACUGGAAAGGGUGAUUUUGGGGUGUAGCCUUCCUAAGGACCUCCUCAACAAAGAUGGGUUUGGGGCAUUGUAUCCUUGAAGACCUUCAGAAAGGGGUGGUCUGAGGGUGUGACAUCCCUGGGGACCUUCUGGAAAGGGUGGGGUUGGGAUGCAGAAUCCUUGAAGAACUUCUGAAAGGGUAGAUUUAGGUACAGCAUUCCUGGGGAUCUUUAGGGAGGAAGGAAAAGGAGGGAAAGGAAAAGGAAGGAAAGGAAAAGGAAGGAAGGAAGGAAGGAAGGAAGGAAGGAAGGAAGGAAGGAAGGAAGGAAGGAAGGAAGGAAGGAAGGAAGGAAGGAAGGAAGGAAGG
rnacentral:lncRNA from 12 species